CUGAGUUUACGCUCUAUAACCCUUUGUGAACAUACCUAUAACUGUUGCUUCGGCGGGUAGGGUCUCCGUGACCCUCCCGGCCUCCCGCCCCCGGGCGGGUCGGCGCCCGCCGGAGGGUAACCAAACUCUGAUUUAACGACGUUUCUUCUGAGUGGUACAAGCAAAUAAUCAAAACUUUUAACAACGGAUCUCUUGGUUCUGGCAUCGAUGAAGAACGCAGCGAAAUGCGAUAAGUAAUGUGAAUUGCAGAAUUCAGUGAAUCAUCGAAUCUUUGAACGCACAUUGCGCCCGCCAGCAUUCUGGCGGGCAUGCCUGUUCGAGCGUCAUUUCAACCCUCAAGCUCUGCUUGGUGUUGGGGCCCUACAGCUGAUGUAGGCCCUCAAAGGUAGUGGCGGACCCUCCCGGAGCCUCCUUUGCGUAGUAACUUUACGUCUCGCACUGGGAUCCGGAGGGACUCUUGCCGUAAAACCCCCAACUUUCCAAAGGUUGACCUCGGAUCAGGUAGGAAUACCCGCUGAACUUAAGCAUAUCAAUAAGCGGAGGAGGUCA
rnacentral:rRNA from 1 species